AUAAAACACAAAAACAAACAAAAUCUAGCAGAGGGUGGGGUUUCUUCUGGUGAUGUUCGCCUUUUCCUUAAGUAAAAACAUGAUUUAAAAAUGAAAAUCGGUGAGCUUUUUGAGCUAUGCUUACAUGAUGUUCAUUCUGGUUAGUUGAUAUUCUAUUCUUCAAUUUGGGAAUUAUUCGGAGGAAAUAGAUUUUCACUCAAUUGAUCAAGGUAGUGCUUAUUAGUUGGUGGGUUUGUGAAGCAAGAUUUGAGGUGUGUUGGUAAAAUUGUAUGGGAAAGACAACGAAGGGAUCAAGUAAAAUUGUUGUUGGUGCACAGGAAUCAGCUUCUUCUCGUCGUAUGCCACCAAGAUCUGCAUUUCAAGAUAUACGCCAGCAAUCAUCUGCUGGUACUUCGUCGCCUGCUCCUGGUUAUGGAAGUGAUAGUACAUAUGAGGCAUCUGAGCUUGGAACACCGGGCCAAGUAUGGGAACACAGCUCUGAAAUCGGUACAAUGGAUCUUGACCUUGAUCAAGAUUUGGCCUCCUUGAUAGAAACACUUACAUUUAGCAUGUUUAGUUAUGAUUACGGUUUUUUUACGGGAAGAAAUAUGCUAGAGAAGCCAAAGGGUUUCCAAGGCAUAACUCAAUGCAACCAAGAAAGUGCUCUUGUUAAAGAUGUAACUGAUGUUUCCAAGCUUGAAUCUUUUUAGGAUGGACUGUCUUUCUGAACAUGAGUAUGGUAGGUUGUCCAGUCAUGGCAUGCAGGAAACAUUAUACGGAGAGUGUUGGAAGUGACAUGAGUUCCAUUAGAGUUUGUGAAAUAUCCAAUACUGGGAUUCACUUGGUGAUGGUUUCCUUGAAUUCGUUGGAAGUGCAGAAGCCUUAACAACAGAAAUGGAGUUCCCAGAUACACAAACUGUUCUUUCAUUAGAUCCGCGCCAGAAAAUGAAUAGAGUUCUUCUCACUAUGCAAGGGAAUUGGGUACUGCAAGAAGCCUAGAACGGACAUGGAGGAUCUUCUUAUAAGACUAAAUCAAGAAAUUGCAAUGAAGAACUUUCUUACAACCAAGUAUGGCACAAGAAAAUGGUCCACGCAGCUGGUGCUGGCAUCAUGUGCCAACCUUUGCACCAUACAAAAGUUGAAGGGGUGUUUCUUCCGUUGAUUAUUGCCUGUAUCAGGACAGGCCAAAAUGUUUAAACCGCUGCAAUUGUACUUACUUCAGAGUUCGAAACCAAAUGCGCAGAGCGUGUUUAAGGUUCUUGCGCUCGGAUGAAGACGGAAUGGUGUGAACAUUUUCUAGUUAGCCGCCAAAUGGCGCUGCAUUCCCACUUGGCGGAGUGAAGAUUAAGACUAGAAGACACUCCGAUUGGCAGGAUUGUGUUUACAUUCUGAAGCAAUUACGCAGCUGUUGGCUGGAGGAGAUUGGCUGAGUUUGUUAUCUGUAAUGGUGGUAGACUGUUACACUGGAUUGUGUAUAUAAUCUCAAGUUUUCACAUUUAGACUUGGUAAACAUGUUUGGAAGCUAGAAUUUGCAAGAUUCAUGUUGGGCCUUGGCUUCUCUAGUCUAAAUUAGACACUUAGAAUUUCCUUCUCCAAUGUAUCCCCUUUUAUAGCUAAAUUCCCACUUUCCUUCUCAAUGUAUCAAGUGCUGGGAAAGCUAGCUAAUGGAUUUCAAAAAUGAUAAAAAUUACAGAACUGAAGCAAUCAAAAUCUCUAGUGUGUAUGAUUAA